rnacentral:rRNA from 1 species
GAGUUUGAUCCCNGGCUCAGGACGAACGCUGGCGGCGUGCCUAAUACAUGCAAGUCGAACGAACUCUGGUAUUGAUUGGUGCUUGCAUCAUGAUUUACAUUUGAGUGAGUGGCGAACUGGUGAGUAACACGUGGGAAACCUGCCCAGAAGCGGGGGAUAACACCUGGAAACAGAUGCUAAUACCGCAUAACAACUUGGACCGCAUGGUCCGAGUUUGAAAGAUGGCUUCGGCUAUCACUUUUGGAUGGUCCCGCGGCGUAUUAGCNNGAUGGUGGGGUAACGGCUCACCAUGGCAAUGAUANNNNAUNNNCCUGAGAGGGUAAUCGGCCACAUNNNNANAUAGACACGGCCCAAACUCCUACGGGAGGCAGCAGUAGGGAAUCUUCCACAAUGGACGAAAGUCUGAUGGAGCAACGAAAGAAGAACAUAUCUGAGAGUAACUGUUCAGGGUAUUGACGGUAUUUAACCAGAAAGCCACGGCUAACUACGUGCCAGCAGCCGCGGUAAUACGUAGGUGGCAAGCGUUGUCCGGAUUUAUUGGGCGUAAAGCGAGCGCAGGCGGUUUUUUAAGUCUGAUGUGAAAGCCUUCGGCUCAACCGAAGAAGUGCAUCGGAAACUGGGAAACUUGAGUGCAGAAGAGGACAGUGGAACUCCAUGUGUAGCGGUGAAAUGCGUAGAUAUAUGGAAGAACACCAGUGGCGAAGGCGGUCUGUCUGGUCUGUAACUGACGCUGAGGCUCGAAAGUAUGGGUASCAAACAGGAUUAGAUACCCUGGUAGUCCAUACCGUAAACGAUGAAUGCUAAGUGUUGGAGGGUUUCCGCCCUUCAGUGCUGCAGCUAACGCAUUAAGCAUUCCGCCUGGGGAGUACGGCCGCAAGGCUGAAACUCAAAGGAAUUGACGGGGGCCCGCACAAGCGGUGGAGCA